rnacentral:rRNA from 1 species
GACGAACGCUGGCGGCGUGCUUAACACAUGCAAGUCGAACGGAAAGGCCCUGCUUUUGUUGGUUGCUCGAGUGGCGAACGGGUGUGUAACACGUGAGUAAACUGCCCUUGUCUUUGUGAUAACUUCAGGAAACUGGGGCUAAUACCGGGUAGGAGCUCCUGCUGCAUGUUGGGGGUUGGUAAGUUUCGGCGGUUUGGGAUGGACUCGCGGCUUAUCCGCUUGUUUGUGGAGUAGUUGCUUACCAAGGGUUUGACGGGUAGCCGGCCUGAGAGCGUUACCGGCCUCCAUGGGACUACGGGAGGGACCAGUCUCGUACGGGAGGCAGCAGUGGAGAAUAUUGCACAAUGAGCGGACGCCUGAUGCAGCAACGCCGCGUGCGGGAAGACGGCUUUCGGGGUGUAAACCACUUUGGAAUGUGACAAAGCGUGAGUGACGGUAAUGGGUAAAGAAGCACCGGCUAACUACGUG